rnacentral:lncRNA from 1 species
UUUUUUUUUUUUUUUUUUUCAGUUAGGGGUAUCCGGGCCUACACCCGACUAAUCCCCUAACCCUAGGAGAGCGGGCCCCACCGAUCCUCAGGAAGAUAUCCCAGGCUGAAUCGAAACCAAGACCGACGCCUUAACUAAGAACGCGAAACCCAGCCGAGCAACCCGUGGGGGGCUAUGCCCAUUCUUGUCUAAGCCAUCAAGAAAUUCUAUAGUUCUAUUUGAUUUCAUGAUUAAAAAGAAAAAGAGCACAAUAUCGUCUUAAAAAUUUGUCAAUACAAAUAGUAAAUACUUGUACUUCUUCUUGCAAAAAUGUACAUUCUUAAUAAAAUAUUCAUCAGAAGGUGUAGAGAAAAAUUCUGACCAGGAAGGGGAAAGUUUUUCCUAAUUGACAAUUAUAAUUCUAGAUGCAAAUUUGCCCAAGUUAGUUUAAGAGACCAUUUCUAUGGUUUAGUUGUAGCCAUCAUUCUUGAAAAAAAUGAAAACUCCAAGAAAUCAAAAGAAGGGACAAAAACACUUACCGGAUUCUUGACGACAAGGGUUAUUCAGUAAAUAAAAAUAAUAAACAUGUGAUUUCAAUUUUCAAUGCCACCAACUUAUACAUCUUUUUGCAGUUUUUAUUGAAAAGCAUGCCUUAUAUUUCUGGAGGGCACCUAGGAAUUGGACUUGGAGGUAUCAUUCUGCCUAACUUCUUGAUGGAUAGUUUUCAAGUAGGUAGCAUUGGAUGAUAGCAAUUAGGCUCCUAUAUCUGAAAAUUAACUUUGUGAUUAGCACAAAUGGAAAGCUUUCACAAGUUAAGAUGCCACUAUUAGCCAUUAAUGUUCCCCAAAUUUAUCAUUAUCUCUUUAUCUCCAUAUUGUUACUCCACCCCUAAAACCAUACGAGCAAUAAUUGAAGGAAUUUUAUAUAAAAAUUUCAAAUUCAUGAUGUCUUGUCACAUUACUAGUAUACAACUUCUAAUGCUUACUAAAGUAUCAUAUCAAAAUUAUUGAUCGAAAUAAUUGAGAAAAGAUGAUUCUCCACUCACCCAAGUCUUCUUUUGUUUUUUGUUCUUUAUUAUGUGAUUGAUUAGAUGAGCAACUGAUUAGCAAAAGCAAGACCAAACAGAUAAUUACCUACUAAUCUUACAAUGAAUCUAAAAAAGCUUACUCAAAAAAAGGUUUAGGGAAAAACAAAAGGCAUUAUAUAUCCCUCCUCCUCGUACAAGAUCAAUAAUGUCUGAUAGUUGGCGCUCAAAAAGACUUGGUACAAUGACUCUCGUUACUCUACAGUCCUAUACCAGUGGCUCUGUAAAAAUUGUCCAAUUUCCCUGAAGACGUUAAUACACUCUGUAUCAGGAACUGGGUAAAAACAAAAGGAUCCCUCAUUAGUUACUGCAAAAUUCGGCCGUUAG